AUGAACGCUAGCGGGAGGCCUAACACAUGCCAGCCGCGCGGUAGAGUUUCUUCGGAAACUUGAGAGCGGCGCACGGGUGCGUAACACGUGUGCAACCUACCUUUAUCUGGGGGAUAGCCUUUCGAAAGGAAGAUUAAUACCCCAUAAUAUAAUGAUUGGCAUCAAUUAUUAUUGAAAACUCCGGUGGAUAGAGAUGGGCACGCGCAAGAUUAGAUAGUUGGUGAGGUAACGGCUCACCAAGUCAAUGAUCUUUAGGGGUCCUGAGAGGGAGAUCCCCCACACUGGUACUGAGACACGGACCAGACUCCUACGGGAGGCAGCAGUGAGGAAUAUUGGACAAGGGGUGAGAGCCUGAUCCAGCCAUCCCGCGUGAAGGAUGACGGUCCUAUGGAUUGUAAACUUCUUUUGUACAGGGAUAAACCUACCCUCGUGAGGGUAGCUGAAGGUACUGUACGAAUAAGCACCGGCUAACUCCGUG
rnacentral:rRNA from 1 species